AUAAUUUCACGUGCCCUUUCUGCCACAGGUUGAUAAUAAAGGUCGGAAUUUCCUCCAUGUGGCUGUUCAGAACUCGGACAUCGAGAGCGUGCUGUUCCUGAUCAGCGUGCAGGCCAAUGUCAACUCUCGGGUCCAGGACGCCUCCAAACUGACCCCUCUGCACCUGGCAGUGCAGGCUGGCUCGGAGAUUAUUGUGCGCAAUCUGCUGCUUGCAGGUGCCCAGGUGAAUGAACUGACCAAGCACCGCCAGACUGCUCUUCACUUAGCAGCCCAGCAAGACCUGCCCACCAUUUGUUCAGUCCUUCUGGAGAAUGGAGUAGACUUUGCAGCUGUAGAUGAAAAUGGAAAUAAUGCUCUGCAUCUGGCAGUGAUGCAUGGCCGUCUGAACAACAUCCGGGUCCUCCUCACAGAGUGCAAUGUAGAUGCAGAAGCCUUUAAUAUCAGAGGCCAGUCACCAAUGCAUAUUCUGGGACAAUAUGGGAAAGAUAAUGCAGCAGCCAUCUGUGACCUCUUCUUGGAGUGUAUGCCAGAAUACCCUCUAGACAAACCUGAUGCUGAAGGAAACACAGGUAGGUGAGACUCAGCAGCUAUUAAACUUGGAAGUCACUUCAAUUGUAUUUGUGUUAUGUCACUUUUAAAGCUGGAAUAAUGGACAGUAGUAUGCUAAAUACAGUAGGAGGCACACAAUACAUGGAAACUUAAAAA